rnacentral:tRNA from 1 species
GGGGAUAUGGCUCAGUUGGUAGAGUGCUUGCCUUGCAUGCAUAAGGCCCUGGGUUCAAUCCCCAGCACCA